rnacentral:rRNA from 1 species
AUUGAACGCUGGCGGCAGGCCUAACACAUGCAAGUCGAGCGGAUGAAGGGAGCUUGCUCCUGGAUUCAGCGGCGGACGGGUGAGUAAUGCCUAGGAAUCUGCCUGGUAGUGGGGGAUAACGUCCGGAAACGGGCGCUAAUACCGCAUACGUCCUGAGGGAGAAAGUGGGGGAUCUUCGGACCUCACGCUAUCAUAUGAGCCUAGGUCGGAUUAGCUAGUUGGUGGGGUAAAGGCCUACCAAGGCGACGAUCCGUAACUGGUCUGAGAGGAUGAUCAGUCACACUGGAGCUGAGACACGGUCCAGACUCCUACGGGAGGCAGCAGUGGGGAAUAUUGGACAAUGGGCGAAAGCCUGAUCCAGCCAUGCCGCGUGUGUGAAGAAGGUCUUCGGAUUGUAAAGCACUUUAAGUUGGGAGGAAGGGCAGUAAGUUAAUACCUUGCUGUUUUGACGUUACCAACAGAAUAAGCACCGGCUAACUUCGUG